CCUACGGGAGGCAGCAGUAGGGAAUAUUGCUCAAUGGGGGAAACCCUGAAGCAGCAACGCCGCGUGGAGGAUGAAGGUUUUCGGAUUGUAAACCCCUUUUGUCAGAGAAGAUAAUGACGGUAUCUAACGAAUAAGCACCGGCUAACUCCGUGCCAGCAGCCGCGGUAAUACGGAGGGUGCAAGCGUUACUCGGAAUCACUGGGCGUAAAGAGCGCGUAGGCGGGAUAGCAAGUCAGAUGUGAAAUCCAAUGGCUUAACCAUUGAACUGCAUUUGAAACUGUUAUUCUAGAGUAUGGGAGAGGUGGGUGGAAUUCUUGGUGUAGGGGUAAAAUGCGUAGAGAUCAGGAGGAAUACUCGUGGCGAAGGCGACCUGCUGGAACAUAACUGACGCUGAUGCGCGAAAGCGUGGGGAGCAAACAGGAUUAGAUACCCUUGUAGUC
rnacentral:rRNA from 1 species